GGCGCACGGGUGAGUAACGCGUAAGUAAUCUACCCCUGUAUUUGGAAUAACCUACCGAAAGGUGAGCUAAUACCGGAUACGUUUGAGAUGAUGCGAAUCAUUUCACAAAAAGGAGGCCUCUUCUUGAAAGCUUCCGUACAGGGAUGAGCUUGCGUACCAUUAGCUAGUUGGCAGGGUAAUGGCCUACCAAGGCGACGAUGGUUAGCGGGUCUGAGAGGAUGAUCCGCCACACUGGAACUGGAACACGGACCAGACUCCUACGGGAGGCAGCAGUGAGGAAUAUUGCGCAAUGGGGGAAACCCUGACGCAGCGACGCCGCGUGGAUGAUGAAGGCCCUUGGGUCGUAAAAUCCUGUCAGAUGGAAAGAAAUGCUUUAGGGCUAAUAUCUCUAGAGUUUGACGGUACCAUCAAAGGAAGCACCGGCUAACUCCGUGCCAGCAGCCGCGGUAAUACGGAGGGUGCAAGCGUUGUUCGGAAUUACUGGGCGUAAAGCGCGCGUAGGCGGUAUGUUAAGUCAGAUGUGAAAGUCCAUGGCUCAACCAUGGAAGUGCAUUUGAAACUGGCAGACUUGAGUAUUGGAGGGGGUGGUGGAAUUCCCGGUGUAGAGGUGAAAUUCGUACAUAUCGGGAGGAAUACCGGUGGCGAAGGCGACCACCUGGCCAAAUACUGACGC
rnacentral:rRNA from 1 species